ACCCUAUAAAAUCCCAUUUUAAAACCCUAAAAUUAUUUCCCUUUUCUGCAACAGCAGCCACCACAAGGACUGCUCCACCUUCUCCUCUGUUUUCAAGCCAAACUCCCCCCUUCCAACUUCGAUUUGGACGAAGAGAAGCAAAGAUGUCGACGGCGCGCCUCUUUUGGUGCGUACUAGAGGAGACAUGUGCGACGUGCGCGCGGAGGGCUGAACGUGGGCGGUUACUGCGACGUGUGUGGGGUGCGACUGCUGAUUGCUGCGAUGUGGGGCGUGCACGACGUUAGGGUAGCUGUUGUUAACCACUGUUUAGGGUUAGACUGGGAUUUGGGGUUUGGUUUAGUGAUUUGGGCCUUAUUGGGCCAAAUGUAAUUGGGUUAGAUUGAUUAAUUUGGGCCCCGGGCAAAAAUGGGCUAUUACACCCAUCUUUUGAAAAAAAAUUAAUAAUGCGACAAAUUUUUUAUUGCGACAAAAA